UACGGAGGGUGCGAGCGUUGUCCGGAAUCACUGGGCGUAAAGGGCGCGUAGGCGGCCUGAUAAGUAGGGGGUGAAAUCCUGCGGCUUAACCGCAGGGCUGCCUUCUAAACUGUCAGGCUGGAGCACAGUAGAGGCAGGUGGAAUUCCCGGUGUAGCGGUGGAAUGCGUAGAGAUCGGGAAGAACAUCAGUGGCGAAGGCGGCCUGCUGGGCUGUUGCUGACGCUGAGGCGCGACAGCGUGGGGAGCAAACAGG
rnacentral:rRNA from 1 species